rnacentral:rRNA from 1 species
GAUCCUGGCUCAGAGCGAACGCUGGCGGCAGGCUUAACACAUGCAAGUCGAGCGGGCCCUUCGGGGUCAGCGGCAGACGGGUGAGUAACGCGUGGGAACGUGCCCUUCGGUUCGGAAUAACUCAGGGAAACUUGAGCURGUACCGGAUACGCCCUUUUGGGGAAAGGCUUGACUGCCGAAGAUCGGCCCGCGUCUGAUUAGCUAGUUGGUGAGGUUAUGGCUCACCAAGGCGACGAUCAGUAGCUGGUCUGAGAGGAUGAUCAGCCACACUGGGACUGAGACACGGCCCAGACUCCUACGGGAGGCAGCAGUGGGGAAUAUUGGACAAUGGGGCAACCCUGAUCCAGCCAUGCCGCGUGAGUGAUGACGGCCUUAGGUUGUAAAGCUCUUUUCUCCGGACGAUAAUGACGGUACCGGAGGAAUAAGCCCCGGCUAACUUCGUGCCAGCAGCCGCGGUAAUACGAAGGGGGCUAGCGUUGCUCGGAAUCACUGGGCGUAAAGGGCGCGUAGGCGGCGUUUUAAGUCGGGGGUGAAAGCCUGUGGCUCAACCACAGAAUGGCCUUCGAUACUGGGACGCUUGAGUAUGGUAGAGGUUGGUGGAACYCCCCGUGUAGAGGUGAAAUUCGUAGAUAUUCGCAAGAACACCGGUGGCGAAGGCGGCCAACUGGACCAUUACUGACGCUGAGGCGCGAAAGCGUGGDGAGCAAACAGGAUUAGAUACCCUGGUAGUMAAUCACUAGUGAAU